AUAGACCCUAUCAAGGUUAUUGGCCGCCAUCUUGGACUGGGGGCAAACAUUGGGGGCUGACGUCAUAAUAACAAUGGCCGAAUCGAGCUCCGCAGCUGACGAUGCAGCGAAUAUAAUCGCCGCGUAUAAUUUACCUGCGUCGUAACAAGUGUACCUAGGUGUGCAGAAGAGACCCCAAGAAGAGAGGAUGUCCCAGAAACAUCUGGAGGUUUGAUUAGGAGUCAGAGUUAAAGACACAGGAUAUGACAUGACAGGAUGCAGCUAAAGCAGCUCCAAAUCGAGUUUGUUGGAGAACGUCGAUGGCCUAUGUUCCUCACAGAAAGACAGGCUGAAGUAAGUACAGGAAAAGAGUGCUCUUUCAAUACUGCAUGGCAAUAUAAACAGUAUA